CAUGGUCAGCUGAUCCUCCAGUGAACUGAGAAGGUUUAUAGUCCUGUGAGUUCAACAUUGCAGGACUCAGAUCUGUCAGUCAACACAGCAGAAACCACAAGCAGCAUGACUCUCAUCACCAUCCUCAUCUGGACGCUGGCCUGCUGCUGUUUUACAGGAUGCAGCGCUCAGGUGACUGUGACUCAGCCUCCAGUAGUCACAUCUACUCCAGGAUCCACUGUCACUCUGACCUGUAAGACUAACCCGGCUGUUAAAACAUGGUCAGAUGGAACCAGUAGAAGACACUGGUAUCAGCAGAAAUCUGGACAAGCUCCCAAAUUGGUCAUGAAAGUGGGUAAAAAUCCUACAGAUGAGUUUGCCUCUCGAUUCUCUGGCAGAGGAGAUGGAGUAAAUGCUGCUCUGACCAUCAGUGGAGUUCAGACUGAAGAUGCAGCAGUUUAUUAUUGUCAGCGUUAUGAUGAAAUAAACAGUGCUUGGGUAGCUACACAGUGA